rnacentral:tRNA from 1 species
GCCUCGGUAGUGCAAUUGGUUAGCACGGCAGACCGGAUAUCUGCGGAUGCGGGUUCAAGUCCCAUCCGAGGUU